GUGUGAGGUGGAUGGGAAGGAGGGCUCCAGAUCCUGUCUGUCUGUGGUCUUCCCACAAGGGAGCACCUUCCCUGGGCCCGCACAAGACCAGCGCUCCACCCCUCUGACGUGCUGCGUCUCCUUCCGCUCCUCCGGGGCCCUGUCGGUGCGCUCCACGCUGGUCUUCUCCGACCACCUCGGCCACCGGUUCGAGGUGGAUGUGUGUGCUGCUGCUGACGGCUGCCUGCUGACCGUCUGGCCCUACGUGGCUCUGCACCGCUCCGACCAGCA